AGCUGACGUGGGUCUUGAACCCACGAACUGUGAGAUCAUGACCUGAGCCGAAGUCAGACGCUUAACCGACUGAGCCAUCCAGGUGCCCUGAAAGCUCCAUUCUUGAACUGGCACUCACUCUGAUUUCUUUUCACGAGCCCUGAAACUGUACCCAAAACUGCCUGUGGAUUUGCCCGAAGGAAGGUUUUUCUUGAAAAUGGCAUCAAGCGCAGGGAGCACCCGUUGUGUGUCGAACUGAAAUGAUCGCUGGGGUGUGUGGAGAUCAGUCAGAUUCAGACCCUGCUGUCCACAAAAAGUAGAUUGGACUGGGUAGAAUAGACUCAUGUCCAGGUAGCUAGAAUGUAACAGUUAAUACGAUCAUUGCAACAGAAAGAAAGCAAGAGGAGGAAAUGGUUCCUGGGCCUUGAGUGUUGCAAAGUAUCCCAGGGAAAACAAUAUUUGGAUAUGCAGAUUUCCCCUCUCCCUCCUCCCAGAGGGACAGGAGAAGAAAGGCACUCUAGGCCAGAGAGACAGGUGGCAUGGCCACCUUGGAGCCAUGGCCAUGCAUGACAACAGUACAGAGGGUGCAGAGCGGCAAAGAACAUAAGAAAGAUAGUGUAAAGCCAGAUGGAAAUGGGCUUUGGAUGCUAUGCUAAGGAGUUUGGAAUUUUUCAUUAGGCGGUGAGAAGUCAUCAGAGAUAUUUAUACGAGGGUGUGACAUGAUUUCAGAAUAUGAUUCUAAUAACAAAGAGGUGAGUAGAUUGCAGGGGAGAGGAAAACCAGGGGCAGGAAAACCAAUUAGGAAGCAGUUGCAACUGUCCAGGAAAAUGAUGCUAUGCCACCCAAAUCAUCCUGUUCUUAAAAUAACGUGCUCAUCAUCUUGCGUCGUUUUAUUCCUUUUAUUUCUGGGGCUAGAAAAAUCACUUAGGCCUCCAUGACUCAGAAUCCCUCCCUAUUAAUAGAAGAUGACAAAAUACUCACCUUACCUCACAUAGGGAGGUCUGUGAGAUGCUUAUAAUUGUAGCCAGGAAGGAGGGGGCAAUGUUAUUCUAAAUGCCAAUGGUUUAAUUCCACUCCAGGAGAGAAACUGCCUUUUGCCUCUUACUUUUAUUAUAAAAAUCCCAGCCCCACAGAAAAGCAGAAAGCCCAGUGAAAGCAUCAGAAGUGCACCCUGCAGAGAAAAGCCACGGCAGAAGUUUCCAGGGCUUACCAUGCUUGCAACAUGCUUGGUUGCAAAAGUGAGAUUUUGUAAAGAAAGCCUGUCGCUCCAUCGUUUCCCAUUAUAAGCAAAAGUGUAAGGAGUGUUCCUUCUAUCGUUCCUGUUGUGGCAGCGGGGGUGGGGAGCAUCGGACACUCGCAGAAGGAGUUACACGCGGUCAUUUAAGUGAAGAGCUGGGCGUGAGGCUUUCAGGUUGUGCUCGCUUUCUUGGGUCUUGGAGUCUGUCCUCUUAGCAAUGGGCACCUGGUCAUGCCUUUUCCAUCUGCUCCCUGGCCCUUUCCCGCAAUGAGAUCUCCAAAUCACUGCCCCAGACGACAUCCGAACUCUCUCGUCUCUUUGGAAAAGUGUCACAGAAAGCACUGCUGACUGAAAAUGCUGUAAAUUUUGCCCAAAUCACUUUGUCUUCUACCUCUUAAACAAAUCUAUGCUCGAUAUACCUGCUAAGUCGGUGCAAGAUAUUCUGAGGGAUAAAAAGGUAAGUCACAUGGGGGACCCUCUCCCCUCCAAAAGCUAAGGGUGGGAUUGUGACAUAAGAGAGAAUGUCUCAAACGUAGUAUUCAGCAUGCUCUUAGGACAAUUCAAAGUUCUAGAUCCAAAGGGACGGUCAUGUUGGAUGACCGACGUGUUCGUUCUUCCAUCCACAGCACUUGUCUUUCUAUAGAUCAACUACAUGGUUACAGACUGAUAUAGUAAGGGGGCAUGUCAGGACCACCUAAAGAGAAGAUGAUAUAUGGUGCUUUCUGAGGUGCAUUCACCUAAGUAAAAAUGGCUCUCCCUGGCACUCCAGUUCCAGCAACUGCAUUCAACUUUUUCUUUCCUCCACAUUUCACCUCUAAGUGUCUCUAAAACUGGAAUCCUGCCUUUUCUUUUCGGCCCUCCCCAGAGCUUGGGUCUCCUCUCAAGCCCUGGCCUUGGCCCUGGGGCUCACUCCAGGCUGUCUGGUCCAUCGAUGGUCACUGCUCGCCAGAUUCCUCCUCUUCACCCUCCACGGUGAACCCAGGAUGGCCUGCAAAUGGCUGAGCCUUUACUGGCUAAACAAAAACUCCCAUCUACAGCCUGUUUCAACUGCCUGGCGGCACUGCCCUCAGGACCUUCACACCAGCAAAACUGGUUUGGCUCACCACCGAUUGAAUUCCUAAUUCUACGACUAUUGCUGCCGAUGCAAAAUGCAUUCCCUUGGUAGUAAAAGUACCACCAAACAUGCACUCUUUAGGAUAUAGGUAUGCCGUAAGCUUUGCAAAUUCCCCACAAGAAUUUGGACUUACACCAGGUGUCCGAUAAAAACUAUUAGAACAUUCGCUACCAAAGAGUCUUGGCUCUGUGGGCCCAGGCCUGCCUGUACUGAUUAGCAUUUUGUGGCAUGUAUCAUUUUCCUUGACAUCGCUCAGGAGAUUAAGACACCAGUCAUAUGCUGCCAGCCACAACUUUUAGAAAACAAACUUGGGAAUAAAGUCACAAGAGGAAAUGAGGACCAUUUGGAAAUUUGAGAACCCACACGUUCUCUGCUUUUUGGUGGUUUUUUGUUUCUUUCGGGUUUUUUUGUUUUGUUUUUGUUUUUGUUUUUGUUUUUUUUUGGUUUUUUUUCCAGGAAGAAUUUCAAAGUUUCAACCUGUUCUAACACUAGCCCAUCUGGCUGCUUUAUUAGUGACAACAGCAGCAUCUUCUAAUGCUCUCAUCUGAGGCAGUACUUUCCAAAAAAUUACAGAAAGAACUUUUGGAUUUGAUGUACCAUAUUUUGUCUAUUUUUUUUUCUUUGAAAAAAUAAAUCCCAACUGGAGAGCA